rnacentral:rRNA from 1 species
CACGUAGGGCGCAAGCGUUGUCCGGAAUUAUUGGGCGUAAAGAGCUCGUAGGCGGUCUGUUGCGUCGGCUGUGAAAACCCGAGGCUCAACCUCGGGCCUGCAGCCGAUACGGGCAGACUAGAGUUCGGCAGGGGAGACUGGAAUUCCUGGUGUAGCGGUUGGAAUGCGCAGAUAUCAGGAGGAACACCGGUGGGCGAAGGCGGG